GUAGGUGGCAAGCGUUGUCCGGAAUUAUUGGGCGUAAAGCGCGCGCAGGCGGUUCUUUAAGUCUGAUGUGAAAGCCCACGGCUCAACCGUGGAGGGUCAUUGGAAACUGGAGAACUUGAGUACAGGAGGGGAAAGCGGAAUUCCACGUGUAGCGGUGAAAUGCGUAGAGAUGUGGAGGAACACCAGUGGCGAAGGCGGCUUUCUGGUCUGUAACUGACGCUGAGGCGCGAAAGCGUGGGGAGCAAACAGGGAUUAGAUACCCUGGUAGUCCACGCCGUAAACGAUGAGUGCUAAGUGUUAGGGGGUUUCCCGCCCCUUAGUGCUGCAGCUAACGCAUUAAGCACUCCGCCUGGGGAGUACGGCCGCAAGGCUG
rnacentral:rRNA from 1 species